rnacentral:rRNA from 1 species
ACUCCUACGGGAGGCAGCAGUAGGGAAUCUUCCACAAUGGGCGCAAGCCUGAUGGAGCAACACCGCGUGAGUGAAGAAGGGUUUCGGCUUGUAAAGCUCUGUUGUUAAAGAAGAACACGUAUGAGAGUAACUGUUCAUACGUUGACGGUAUUUAACCAGAAAGUCACGGCUAACUACGUGCCAGCAGCCGCGGUAAUACGUAGGUGGCAAGCGUUAUCCGGAUUUAUUGGGCGUAAAGAGAGUGCAGGCGGUUUUCUAAGUCUGAUGUGAAAGCCUUCGGCUUAACCGGAGAAGUGCAUCGGAAACUGGAUAACUUGAGUGCAGAAGAGGGUAGUGGAACUCCAUGUGUAGCGGUGGAAUGCGUAGAUAUAUGGAAGAACACCAGUGGCGAAGGCGGCUACCUGGUCUGCAACUGACGCUGAGACUCGAAAGCAUGGGGUAGCGAACAGGAUUAGAUACCCUGGUAGGAAAGCC